CAGGACCAGAGUCCCUCUGUACUGAAUUUAAGCACGAACUAGUAGGUUUCAGACAAGAAUUUGGGCGAAUUUAGCUAGGGUUUUCAUUGCAAGAGGAAGGGAAGGUAGUAGCACGCCACCGGCGGCUAGGGUUUACACUCAAUAAUUCUAUUACAUGCCUCGAAUGGAAGGGAAAGCUGGCUUAUGUAGCCAUUACAGUAGCUGUAAAGCAGAAAAGCAGAAAAGUGCAAGCACAUGGCUUGUCGGACGGUGAACAGCUUCUCCCGCGUCUUCUAAGCCGUUGGAUGGUUGAUCGACGGAGGAGAGAAACCCACUUAAGUGAACCAUUAGCUUGGCCCUGAGACCGUAGGAUUUGAGAUGGACGGCUGUCAAUGCAACUGACACGCAGGAACAGGGGAACUUAAGAACUGAGCCUGACAAUACCCCCCGAUUAAGCUGGAGCUUGUCCUCAAGCUCUGAAUGCAGGAAAAGCUUUCUGGAUAAAGGCUGAAUCCUCCCAAGUUGCUUCCUCUGGUGGCAGAUUUGCCCAUUUCACCAACCAUUUGACUACUGGAAUGCUUAUAUUGCCUUGCUUCCUUGGAAUUAGCUUCCUCUCCAGAAUAGUUUCAGGUUCAAUUCUGAUUAUCCCAUCAGGACCAACCAGGGGAAGUUUGGAAGAGGGCACAACCUUGGGUCCAAUAUGCUUUUUAAGCUGACUGGCAUGGAAUGUGUCAUGCAACUGGCAAUCUUCAGGCAAGAGCAACUUGUAUGCAUGAUUUCCAAUUUUACUCAGAAUUUUGAAUGGCCCAUAAAACUUGGAGUGUAGCUUAAUGUGCCUGUGCAGACUGAGAGAAGUAUGUCUGUGAGGUUGCAGCUUAAGAUACACCAUUUCUCCCACCAUCAACUCUCUUUCUUUUCUGUUCCUGUCAGCAAAGAAUUUCAUUCUUGCUUGUGCUUUCAAGAGAUUUUGCUUGAUCACUUCCACUGCUAGCUCUCUGUUCUGCAACAGAUCCUCAUUGUCCACACAAAUAGUGUCAGGCAGAGCUGAUUCAGCCACCAUAGGAGGAGGAAAACCAUAAAGAGCUUGGAAAGGUGUCAUUUUCAGAGAUGUAUGGAAAGAGGUGCUAUACCACCACUCAGCUAAAGCCAGCCAUCCAUGCCAUUUCCUUGGUUGUUGGAAGCACAUACAUCUUAAAUAAUUCUCCAAGCACUGAUUCACUCUCUCUGUUUGCCCAUAUGUUUGUGGAUGAUAACUAGUGCUCAUGUGCAAUUUAAUGUUCGGUGACUUGAACAGCUUUUGCCAGAGAUUGCUAGUGAAGAUUCUAUCUCUGUCAGUCACAAUAACUAGUGGCAUGCCAUGAAGUUUAAACACAUUUUCAGAGAAGGCUCUUGCUACAGACUGGACUGUGAUGGGAUGCUUCAUAGCAAUGAAAUGAGAGUAUUUAGUGAACCUGUCAACCACCACUAGAAUCAAGUUUUUGUUCUCUGAAAUGGGCAAACCCUCUACAAAAUCCAUACUAAUAUGAGCCCAUGCAAAAUCAGGAACAGGGAGUGGCUCUAACAGCCCAGGGUAAGGUGUAUGUUCAGAUUUGUUCAACUGGCAGACAGGGCAAUUUUUCACAAAUGUGAUCACAUCUUGCUUCAUUCCUUGCUAAUGAAAUACUAGUUUUAUUCUCUGAUAAGUAGCUCUUUCACCAGAGUGUCCACCCAGCUCAGAGUUGUGAAAUGUAGCUAGUAUUUCCUACCUCAGGUUAGUGCUUUUUCCCACUACCACCUUAUUGUGAAACCUCAAUAUACCAUUCUUAAAGGAAUAAGCAUUACCAGUGCUUUGAUCCACAGAACACUCAGCAAUUAGUUCCUUGAUUUUGCCAUCCUGCUGAUAACUGCUCACUACUUCCUUAACCCAAGUAGGCAAGGCAACAAUAGUAAAUAUUGCAGAAACUGCAUGUUUUACUCUAGAUAGUGCAUCAGCAGCCCUGUUCUCCUUGCCCUUCUUGUACUCUAUAGUAAAAUUAUACCCAAGUAACUUUAAUAGCAGCUUGUGUUGGAUACCCUCAGUAACUUUCUGCUCUUGGAUGUACUUCAAGCUCUCCUGAUCUGUUCUGAUUAUUAGAGAAGUAGCAGAGAAAUAAUGUUUCCAUUUCUUCACAGCUUCAAUAAUAGCCAUAGCUUCUUUAUCAUAAGUACUUGGUGCAGCAGCUUUAGGGCCAAUACUCUUACUGAAAUAAGCAAGUGGCCUGCCCUCUUGCAUUAGUACAACCCCCAAGCCAUAUCCACAAGCAUCAGCUUCCAAUAUAAAUGGCUUUUUGAAAUCUGGCAGGGCCAGGACAGGUGCAUGAGUGAGUUUCUGUUUCAGUGCUUCAAAUGUUUGUUGUUGCUCCUUUGCCCAAGCAAAAGAAUCCUUCUUAAAGCAGUCAAAGAGAGGCCUGCAGAUUAUCCUAUAUCCCUGGAUAAACCUUCUGUAAUAUCCACUUAAACCCAGAAAACUCCUCAAUUCAGUGACAGUAGUUGGAGCAGGCCAUGACUUGAUAGCCUCAAUCUUUGUAGGGUCAGUAGAAACUCCUUCAGAGUUAAUGACAUGGCCCAAAUACUCAAUCUCCUUCUAACCAAAAGAACAUUUUUCUAACUUGGCAUAUAACUUAUUUGCUUGCAAUAUAUCAAAUACUUGCUUGAGAUGCUCCAAAUGUUCUUCCAUGGAAAAACUGAACACUAGAAUAUCAUCAAAGAAUAGCACUACAAACUUGAGAAGACCAAAUAAGAGAUUCAUUAAAGCCUGGAAUGAAGGAGGUCCAUUAGUAAGUCCAAAUGACAUUACUAAAUACUCAAAUAAUCCCAUAUGAGUUACAAAUGUAGUUUUUGGAAUAUCCUCCUCAGCCAUUCUGAUCUGGUGAUAGCCAUUUCUCAGAUCAAUUUUUGAAAAUACUUUUGCUCCUUUGAGUUGGUCCAACAGAUCUUCUAUAACUGGAAUGGGAUAUUUGUUUUUGAUUGUAAUUGCAUUUAACUUUCUAUAGUCAGUAUAGAGCCUCCAUAACCCAUCUUUUUUCUUAACUAACAGCACAGGGGAGGAGAAUGGACUAGUGAUGGGCCUGAUAAUACCAUUCUUCAGGAGUUCCAAGAUAAUCUUCUUCAGGAUUUCUUUUUGAUGCUGAGGAAUUCUAUAUGGCCUUUGGUUAACCACUUUUGCUCCCUCUACCAAAGGAAUUCUACGAUCACAGGGCCUACUUGGUGGAAGUUCAGUAGGUUCCUGAAAUAGUUUCUCAUACUGAUCCAACAGUGGUUUGAAUGCAGCAGGAGUCUCUUGAGCAGCUGCUACCAUUUGAGGACCAGAAGUAGUAAACAAGAAGAAUCCACACACAGCUUGUUCCACUAAUUUCUCAGUGUGGUCAGUUACUUCAGUAACAGUAGUAAGAGGUACAGUUUCAUCCACAAAAGUGAUAAACUGCCCUUCAGGAGCAGAUAUCUUCAUUUCCAUCUUAAUGAAAUCCAUUUGUAUGGGGCUAUAUUUCCUCAACCAAUCUACUCCUAAGAUGAUGUCAUAGCCUUUUAACUUUAGUACUCUGAAGCUGUCAAUAAAUGCAUGGCCUUGUAUUGCAUAGUGACAGUUCUUUGCUUGGAAUUCACUCCAGAGGAUCCCUACACUAGCAACUACUCCCUCCGUCCCAAAAUUCUUGUCUUAGAUUUGUCCAAAUACGGAUGUAUCAAGUCACAUUUUAGUAUUAAGUACAUCCGUAUCUAGACAAAUCUAAGACAAGAAUUUUGGGACGGAGGGAGUACUACUUUAGUUUUUGGUGUAGGACUGGGAACAACAUCCGACUUAGUAGCCACCUGAGGAGAUAUAAAAGUAGUAGUACUGCCACUGUCCACCAGUGCAAUUGCCAGAGUAUUUCCCAAUUUAACUGUCAGUAUGAAAGUAUUUUUAGUUGCUCCAAUGCCCAUGGCAGCAUGCAUUGAUACUUUCAGUACUGUUUCCUCAGUUAGCUGCUCUGUAUUGUCUAGCUCCUGAUCAUCAUAUUCUGCCACAAAUAUAGUUUCAGGAGUUCCAUCUUCUUGAGCUUGUAGAGCUUGGAUUUGAGCUUUCUGGUUCAUUUUACACACUUGCCUAUGACCAGGCACCCAAGGCUCUCUACAUUUAUAACACACCUGGUUCUGUUUGGCCUGCUGAAUAACCACAUUCCUGUUUUGUGGUGCAGUUGGAAGCAGUUGUUUGGGCUGUUCAAAAAUGACUUAUCUUUUUGGUUGAGGAACAUACUGCUUAUUUUGCACUGACUGAGAGGAAGGCUGAGAUUUCUCCAUUCUUCUGGCAUACCACACUGCAGUUUGCAGAUCUUUUGGUUUAAAACAUUCCACUAAACUUCUGAUGUAAGGGUUGAGGCCUGAGACAAAGCUGGAGACAUAAUAGUCAUCAGGUAUAGCAGGGUUUUCUCUCCUCAUUCCAUUGACCAAUUGCUCAAAUUGUUCCACAUAAGCAGCCAUUGUUGUUGCUUGAUGUGCAGCAUGAAAGUUACUGACCACAUCACAAGCUGAUUCCACAGAGAACCUAUCAGAUAGGUAAGAACAGAAUUUAUGCCAUGGCACAUUGGAGGGUGCAUAUCCAGUACCCCUCCACCACUGAAUAGCAGGUCCUUUAAGAUAAGAAAUUGCCAGUUCUGUUCUAUGUUCAAUGGGAGUUCUUGCAGCAGCAAAAUACUGUUCCAAAUUCUGAAUCCAUGACUCAGGAUCUUGUCCUUCAAAUUCUGAUAUGUUCAACUUAGCAGGCUUAACAGUCAGAACAUUCCUUUUUCUGUAAUAAUUCUCAACUCCAUCUUCCUGUAUUUCCUCCAACUGAAUUACAUUUCUCUGCACUGCCUGAAACUGUUCCUUGUCCUUACUCUGACCAUAGUGUGGGUUCCUGUAGGGAACCUUAGGAGUCCCAUCCAUAUUCAGUUCCUUACCAGCCUGAUCACGCAGAACAGCUGUCCCAAUUGGAAAAGGGGCAACUUUGUCAGGCAUUGCCACCGAUGGUGGUGUAGGAGCUUGGAGCUGCUUGGGCCUACCCGGAGCUACCUGAGGUGAGUUAACAUGGUUGUCCUUAACCUGCACACUGCCUUGGCCUUCUUCAACCUGAUCCUCCUGUGCUGGCUCGGGUUCUAACAACAGACGCCUGAAAUUGUCCUGAAUUUUCUCAAAGUUCUUUUGCAUCGUUGCAAAAUUUCUGUUUACAGAUGCCUGAAACUGCUGGAACUCCUUGCGAUCCUCUUCUCGCUCCCGCUGGAACGUUUUGAUGUCCAACUCAAGGGAAUCCAGCUACAAUUCGGCCGUUGACCCUGAAUCCAUCGGGCCCGUCAUCUUGAAAUCGUCGGCAAUCAACACCAUAGAGGGUUGGGAGGGUGGGAGGACUAGUCACCGCCGCCUACGCCGCCGCCAGCGCCCACCUCCGAUGGUACACGAGCAGAUCACAGGAGCUGGGAUUUCACUACCUGAAAAGUGUUCCCGGGCAACCAGACUGUUCUUCUGCUUGUACCCGAACUCUGCCACUCUGGCCGCCACCAGAUGCCACUGCCGCUAGAUCGGGGUGAGAUGAGGGAUUUUACAGCCGGAACCAACCUCUUCUACCCCCAAUCAACCAUGCCGCCGAGGAAGGACUGGCUCUGAUACCAAUUGUCAGGACCAGAGUCCCUCUGUACUGAAUUUAAGCACGAACUAGUAGGUUUCAGACAAGAAUUUGGGCGAAUUUAGCUAGGGUUUUCAUUGCAAGAGGAAGGGAAGGUAGUAGCACGCCACCGGCGGCUAGGGUUUACACCCAAUAAUUCUAUUACAUGCCUCGAAUGGAAGGGAAAGCUGGCUUAUAUAGCCAUUACAGUAGCUGUAAAGCAGAAAAGCAGAAAAGUGCAAGCACAUGGCUUGUCGGACGGUGAACAGCUUCUCCCGCGUCUUCUAAGCCGUUGGAUGGUUGAUCGACGGAGGAGAGAAACCCACUUAAGUGAACCGUUAGCUUGGCCCUGAGACCGUAGGAUUUGAGAUGGACGGCUGUCAAUGCAACUGACAUGCAGGAACAGGGGAACUUAAGAACUGAGCCUGACAGGUGCAUAUCAGGGUGAGCUUCCCCAAUCCUUAUUUCCCCUCCGCUCAUGAUCUCUCUCUCCUACCCAUCUUCUAUGCAAGAUUUGUGUAGCCUAAAGCCUUUGUAUGAUACGUGUAGGUAUACCUUUGGAAGAAAAAAUCAAUCAAAUGUUAAUUCUCCAAGGUAACUUGCCUUUUCUACGCAGGUACUGCUUGUUUAGUACUGUGGAUAGUACUGUGGAUAAGUAAAUGUAAGCAUGCCCCAAUAAUGAUACGAACAAGGUUUGAGAGGCUCAAUCAUUUUCAUUUAUACUAAGAAUUAACCAGUUCACUAAUUUCUAUGCUACUAAUAGUGUCGUCUGAAUAUAUCUACUACAUUCACUGCACUGUGCUUACAUUCACACUGAUUGUAGCUGCAAGUUAAGAUCUAAUUGUCCAAGAUAAUUCUGAGGACCUAACACAACGUGCGGUUUUGAACUAAGUGAUAUUUUCUGGCCUUACUCCCAUGUACUUUUAAAAUCAAUUUUAAUGAUAUCGAUAGGUUAAGGUCAUUCAUGAGGAGAGGUGUUGGGGCGGAGUCCCAGGUGUAGCUACUAUUGCCCUAUCAAUUCUGUAGUCACCUCUUUCUGAACAUUGGUUAGUUCUUCACGAGCGAUACUAUACUCUUGCUGCCUCUUAGUAUUCUCCGUUUAUUCUAAUAAGUGUAUGUGGACACACGCAGACAGUAACGGAACAAGCACAACAGUUCUCUUUGUGUUUUAGUGGGUAUAUGUGGAUGUACAGAAAGUGGUCUCUGUUUAUUAACGGGUUACAUGUUGCUGCAAUGAAAAUGUAUAUGGUGAUUUUCAUUCUGGUUUGCAGGGUAGUACAUGGAGCAUAGAAACUGAGUCGAAAGUCUGUCUUUUGUGCAGGAAUUUACUGCAGGUCUGAUCCCUUGCUCGUGCUCUCUGCUUGUCCUCACUCUGUAGACCUUUCCUUUGCUCGUAGCCAUACAUUUUAUUCAGAGUGCUGUCAAGACGCAUCUCCUCUGCCUAUAUGGCGGGCAGAGGGCCUAAGCUCUAGGUGAGCUCCUCCUCCACCCUACAAAUGUUGUAUUUGUUAUGAUGUUUCCAUUGUUAAUGUCUGCAAUCUAAUGCCUUGCUCUGCUAUUUUUAUUUCUAAUCUCAACAUACUCUGUACAGUGAUGAGUAUACCAUUUAACAUGUGCAUGAUGUUAAAAUUGUGUGAAUCUAAGGGCCUACAUGCUUCAUAAUCUGUAGCCAAGUUAUUUUAGGACUUUUUAUUUUGUGUGUGCGAGGAGAAAUUGUACUAUCUCUUCAUGAUUCAUCGUUUAUAUAUUAGUUGGAUAGUAUCUCUUUAUUCGGUUCUUGUGACUGACCUGCUGCUUUACUUAUAUGGACAGCUUAAACUGAAAUCAAUGCAUGGUAUUGUUCAAUUCGAAGUGUACUUGACGUGUGCAGAUCUGAGGAUAAAGGGAAGAAGACGGAAUUUAGCUGAGGAGUUGAAUAGGAUCAAGGUUAUUAUUCCACAAUCAUUUGUUGGGUUUAAGGAUAUAAACAACAUGGCUUACGAGGAUUUGGACUGCUGUUCUUUUAGUUCCACUCUUAAAUCUUUUGGUUCUUGAAGGCCUGCACUUUCCUGGUGGAGUAAGAGCAAAAUAAUUCAGAGGCUUUAAAGCUGCUGCACUUUAGUAGUUAGGAUUAAUUCUUUGUUUUGGUUUGAAAUGCUCCCCAAUUCCUCUUAUUUGAUUGAUUCAUCUGAUGGUCAUUUGUCAGGCAAAUAAACAGAAGGCAUAUGUAUUGUUUUGAGUGAAGCCAUCCAUACAAGGCAAUAUAUUAAUUAUCCCAUAUGUGGAAUUCAAGAUAGAGAGAAAUGUUAUUGUUCUUCUGCUAAUUGGUUGCUUGACAAAUGUACUAUAAAUGAUGUUAUUAUUGUACGAGAUAUAGAGAAAUGUUAUUGUUCUUCAAUUAUUGAGAUGAUAGAAGUACUACUUAGCAGUUUUGUCUCUGACCGAACGAAGCUCUCGAGUAAGAAGGGAUGAAUAAGUGAUGGGUCAAACUGGCUGCCAUACGAAUGCUUUGAAAUAUGGCACAUAAGUACUUUCUUUUUCAAACACACAGAA
rnacentral:lncRNA from 1 species